rnacentral:lncRNA from 1 species
UCUUAUGAGUGUUGACUAGGAGAUCAAUGAGAGGGAAAGAGUAUGCUUUCUGCUAAAAUCGGCAACAUCAUCUCCUCUGGGAACUCUUAAGAAGCCUGUUACCUGACCUCUUCACAGCCGCACAAACCCAGUCGCCAAUAUUUGCAUACUUUCUCCAAGGACGCAGUUCCCCCGGGACAGUUCAUAAAUCCACAUCUUGGGAAAUGUUCAUAGGAUGCUACAAACUAAACAGGGCUUUGUUAAAUAAAGCUGGGGUGUACUGA